rnacentral:rRNA from 1 species
UACGUAGGGAGCAAGCGUUGUUCGGAUUUACUGGGCGUAAAGGGCGCGUAGGCGGCGCGGUAAGUCACUUGUGAAAUCUCUGAGCUUAACUCGGAACGGUCAACUGAUACUGUGCGGCUAGAGUGCGGAAGGGGCAACUGGAAUUCUUGGUGUAGCGGUGAAAUGCGUAGAUAUCAAGAGGAACACCUGCGGCGAAGGCGGGUUGCUGGGCCGACACUGACGCUGAGGCGCGAAAGCUAGGGGAGCGAACGGG